CAGAAUUCUGUUUUGUUUGCCUCUCAAUUUUCCAUUCUCUCUUUUUUUUUUUGUUCUCAUUUCUAAGUCUCUAUUCCCACCCUUAUUUUAGGUCUCAACUAUAUUAUUAGCCCAGUGCUGCCUAUUCAGAUUUAUAUUUUGUAUAAAAGACAGAAGGAUUUGAAUGGAAGUGCGUGGUCUUUCUCUCAUGGCAACAACAUAUGUUUGGAAGACCUUAGCGGAAGAAGUUUGCAUUUGAAAGUAAAGGCCUCAGUCUUGAAUGACAGGAAACUUAGCUCCAUUGUUCUCAGUGAAUUUUGCAUUUGGACUUUCUGUGCGUGCUCAGGAGCAGGCAUCAGCCAUUUUAAUGCCCAAACCGCAGCUAUACAAGGCAUCAAAAUAUUGAGAUAAGGUUGUUGAAGAUCACUGCCUUGGGCUGGAACCCCUGGAAUCCUCUCUGUUUUGCACUUGAGGUAUGUCUGAAUCUAUUUUUGGAUCUAGUUAAUU
ensembl:lncRNA